CUUCCCAUUUGGAGGAAACAGCACUGGAAAGAUCAUUAUCUUUGUCUUGGAUGCAAAGUAUGAGUUGAAGAUUGUUCCAGGGACCGUGACGCUUCGGAGCAAUAUCAGAACGGAGCCGUUUGGCAGAAGUUUGAGGUUCGGCAUCUAAUCUUUGUUUUCGCUUCUGAUUUUGCCUCUUUGCAUUUGCUUUCGAACCGGCCAUGGUCGAG
rnacentral:sRNA from 1 species